GUUCUGGUAGCUCAGCUGGAUAGAGCAUCGCCCUUCUAAGGCGGGUGUCAAGAGUUCGAAUCUCUUCCGGAACA
rnacentral:tRNA from 1 species